rnacentral:rRNA from 1 species
GGAAGGAGAAGUCGUAACAAGGUCUCCGUUGGUGAACCAGCGGAGGGAUCAUUACUGA